CCUACGGGAGGCAGCAGUGGGGAAUAUUGCACAAUGGGGGGAACCCUGAUGCCGCGACGCCGCGUGAGUGAAGAAGUAUUUCGGUAUGUAAAGCUCUAUCAGCAGGGAAGAAAAUGACGGUACCUGACUACGAAGCCCCGGCUAACUACGUGCCAGCAGCCGCGGUAAUACGUAGGGGGCAAGCGUUAUCCGGAUUUACUUGGUGUAAAGGGAGCGCAGACGGCUGUGCAAGUCUGGAGUGAAAGGCGGGGGCCCAACCCCCGGACUGCUCUGGAAACUGUAAAGCUGGAGUGCAGGAGAGGUAAGCGGAAUUCCUAGGGUAGCGGUGAAAUGCGUAGAUAUUAGGAGGAACACCAGUGGCGAAGGCGGCUUACUGGACUGCAACUGACGUUGAGGCUCGAAAGCGUGGGGAGCAAACAGGAUUAGAUACCCCAGUAGUC
rnacentral:rRNA from 1 species